rnacentral:rRNA from 1 species
AGAGUUUGAUUCUGGCUCAGGAUGAACGCUAGCUACAGGCUUAACACAUGCAAGUCGAGGGGCAGCGAGAAGAAAGCUUGCCUUCUUGUCGGCGACCGGCGCACGGGUGAGUAACGCGUAUCCAACCUUCCCCAUAGUAGGGGAUAGCCCGGCGAAAGUCGGAUUAAUACUCUAUGUUGUAUUUUGAGGACAUCUGACGAAUACCAAAGAUUUAUCGCUAUGGGAUGGGGAUGCGUCUGAUUAGCUUGUUGGCGGGGUAACGGCCCACCAAGGCGACGAUCAGUAGGGGUUCUGAGAGGAAGGUCCCCCACAUUGGUACUGAGACACGGACCAAACUCCUACGGGAGGCAGCAGUGAGGAAUAUUGGUCAAUGGGCGAGAGCCUGAACCAGCCAAGUAGCGUGCAAGGAUGACUGCCCUAUGGGUUGUAAACUGCUUUUAUGCGGGAAUAAAGUCAGGUACGCGUACCUGUUUGUAUGUACCGCAUGAAUAAGGACCGGCUAAUUCCGUGCCAGCCGCCGC